rnacentral:rRNA from 1 species
UGGUGGAGCGAUUUGUCUGGUUAAUUCCGUUAACGAACGAGACCUCUACUUGCUAAUGUAGUGCUGCCGAUGCGAAUCGUGCAGCGCUUCUUAGAAGGACUGUCGGUGUUUAGCCGACGGAAGUUGGAGGCAAUAACA